CAGCAGCCGCGGUAAUACGGCGGGGGCUAGCGUUGUUCGGAAUUACUGGGCGUAAAGCGUGCGCAGGCGGUUUGUUAAGACAGAUGUGAAAUCCCCGGGCUCAACCUGGGAACUGCAUUUGUGACUGGCAAGCUAGAGUGUGGCAGAGGGGGGUGGAAUUCCGCGUGUAGCAGUGAAAUGCGUAGAUAUGCGGAGGAACACCGAUGGCGAAGGCAGCCCCCUGGGCCAACACUGACGCUCAUGCACGUAAGCGUGGGGAGCAAACAGGAUUAGAUACCCCAGUAGUCCCUGUCUCUUAUAC
rnacentral:rRNA from 1 species